rnacentral:rRNA from 1 species
UACGUAGGGUGCGAGCGUUAAUCGGAAUUACUGGGCGUAAAGCGUGCGCAGGCGGUUUUGUAAGUCAGACGUGAAAGCCCCGGGCUCAACCUGGGAAUUGCAUUUGAAACUACAAGGCUAGAGUGCGUCAGAGGGGGGUAGAAUUCCACGUGUAGCAGUGAAAUGCGUAGAGAUGUGGAGGAAUACCGAUGGCGAAGGCAGCCCCCUGGGAUAACACUGACGCUCAUGCACGAAAGCGUGGGGAGCAAACAGG